rnacentral:rRNA from 1 species
UACGGAGGGAGCUAGCGUUGUUCGGAAUUACUGGGCGUAAAGCGCGCGUAGGCGGCUUUGUAAGUUAGAGGUGAAAGCCCGGGGCUCAACCCCGGAACUGCCUUUAAAACUGCAUCGCUUGAAUCCGGGAGAGGUGAGUGGAAUUCCGGAGUGUUAGAGGUGAAAUUCGUAGAUAUUCGGAAGAACACCAGUGGCGAAGGCGGCU